AUUGAACGCUGGCGGCAGGCCUAACACAUGCAAGUCGAACGAGUGGCGGACGGGUUAGUAAUGUCUGGGAAACUGCCUGAUGGAGGGGGCUAACUACUGGAAACGGUAGCUAAUACCGCAUACCAUCAGAUGUGCCAAGAUGGGAUUAGCUAGUAGUGGGGGUAACGGCUCACCUAGUCGACGAUCCCUAGCUGGUCUGCGAGGAUGACCAGCCACACUGGAACUGAGACACGGUCAAGACUCCUACGGGAGGCAGCAGUGGGGAAUAUUGCACAAUGGGCGAAAGCCUGAUGCAGCCAUGCCGCGUGUAUGAAGAAGGCCUUCGGGUUGUAAAGUACUUUCAGCGGGGAGGCGUUACCCGCAGAAGAAGCACCGGCUAACUCCGUGCCAGCAGCCGCGGUAAUAC
rnacentral:rRNA from 1 species